GCCAGACACAGUGGCUCGCGCUUGUAGUUCCCAGCUACUUGGGAGGCUGAGGCAGGAGGAUCGCUUGAGUCCAGGAGUUCUGGGCUGUAGUGCACUAUGACAAUUGGGUGUCCACACUAAAGUUAGGCAUCAAUAAGGUGACCUCCCGGGAGCAGGGGACCACCAGGGGUUGCCUAAGGAGGCUGUGAACCAGCCCAGGUUGGAAAAGGAGCAGGUCAAAACUCCCAUGCUGAUCAGUAGUGUUAUCGCACCUGUGAAUAACCACUGCACUCCAGCCUGGACAACAUAGCAAGACCCUGUCUCU
rnacentral:SRP_RNA from 1 species